UGGGGAAUAUUGCACAAUGGGGGAAACCCUGAUGCAGCGACGCCGCGUGGAGGAAGAAGGUCUUCGGAUUGUAAACUCCUGUUGUUGGGGAAAAUAAGGAUGGUACCCAACAAGGAAGUGACGGCUAACUACGUGCCAGCAGCCGCGGUAAAACGUAGGUCACAAGCGUUGUCCGGAAUUACUGGGUGUAAAGGGAGCGCAGGCGGGUAUGCAAGUUGGGAGUGAAAUACAUGGGCUCAACCCAUGAACUGCUCUCAAAACUGUGUAUCUUGAGUAGUGCAGAGGUAGGCGGAAUUCCCGGUGUAGCGGUGGAAUGCGUAGAUAUCGGGAGGAACACCAGUGGCGAAGGCGGCCUACUGGGCACCAACUGACGCUGAGGCUCGAAAGUGUGGGUAGCAAACAGG
rnacentral:rRNA from 1 species